GACGAACGCUGGCGGCGUGCUUAACACAUGCAAGUCGAACGGAAAGGCCCUGCUUUUUUGGGGUUCUCGAUUGGCGAACGGGUGCGUAACACGUGAGUAACCUGCCCUUGACUUUGGUAUAACUUCAGGAAACUGGGGCUAAUAUCGUAUAGGAUCUCCUGCUGCAUUGUGUGGGUUGGAAAGUUUCGGCGGUUGGGGAUGGACUCGCGGCUUAUCAUCUUGUUGGUGGGGUAGUUGCUUACCAAGGCUUUGGCGGGUAGCCGACAUGAGAGGGUGAACGGGGACAUGGGGACUGAGAGACGGACCAGACUGCAACGGGAGGCAGCAGUGGGGAAUAUUGCACAAUGGGAGGAAGCCUGAUGCAGAAACGCCGCGUGCGGGAUGACGGCCUUCGGGUUGUAAAAAGCAUUAGCCUGUGACGAAGCGUGAGUGACGGUAAUGGGUAAAGAAGCACCGGCUAACUACGUG
rnacentral:rRNA from 1 species